AUCAAUUUCAUAGUGAACAUACUUGCAGGUAUCCAUGUGGAAACAUGUAUUAAGGAAAGAGCAGUCACCUAAAGACUCAUCAGUGUGUUUAUUGAUAAUUCGUCUGGGAAAAUAAAAAGGGAGAAUCAAGAUGGUGCUCCAGAUGUAGAUCCAACAGUUCAAAUUCCAAAUGAUUUCAAAAUGUCUAUUUUAUUACCCUCCCCUAAUUCUAUCAUUAGAGC
rnacentral:lncRNA from 1 species